ACUCCUACGGGAGGCAGCAGUGGGGAAUAUUGCACAAUGGGGAAAACCCUGAUGCAGCCAUGCCGCGUGUGUGAAGAAGGCCUUCGGGUUGUAAAGCACUUUCAGUAGGGAGGAAGGUAGUGUAGUUAACACCUGCACUAUUUGACGUUACCUACAGAAGAAGCACCGGCUAACUCCGUGCCAGCAGCCGCGGUAAUACGGAGGGUGCGAGCGUUAAUCGGAAUUACUGGGCGUAAAGCGCAUGCAGGCGGCCUGUUAAGUCAGAUGUGAAAGCCC
rnacentral:rRNA from 1 species